GUUAUCGACUGCACACCCGGUGGAUCUGGAUCUGGAUUAGGAAAAACAAUUAGAAUUUAAUAGGAAAUUGUAAAUAUUAUAAAUUAUACAAACAAAAUGACCACGCUGCGACCCUUCACCUGCGACGACCUCUUCAAGUUCAACAAUGUAAACUUUGACCCACUUACGGAGACCUACGGGCUGUCCUUCUACACGCAGUACCUGGCCAAGUGGCCGGAGUACUUCCAGCUGGCCGAAUCACCCAGCGGUCAAAUAAUGGGCUACAUCAUGGGCAAGGUGGAGGGCCAUCUGGACAACUGGCAUGGCCAUGUGACGGCGCUGACGGUCUCGCCCGACUACCGGCGACUCGGCCUGGCCGCUCUGCUCAUGAGCUUCCUGGAGGACAUCUCGGAAAAGAAGCGGGCCUACUUUGUGGAUCUGUUUGUGCGGAAGAGCAACCAGGUGGCGAUCAACAUGUACACAAAUCUCGGCUACAUCAUCUACCGCACCAUACUCGAGUACUACUCCGGCGACCAGGAUGAGGAUGCCUACGACAUGCGAAAGGCCUUAUCGAGGGACGUGAACAAGAAGUCGGUCAUUCCGUACACGCAGCCUGUACGACUGGAAGAUAUAGAUAUGAAUUGAUACGAUAGAUCAACCCAGUAGCGCCCGCAAUCGCAUUUAUGUCUAACCGAUCCCCCGAUCCACGAUCCACCACUUUUUAACAGGAGUUCUAGUUAAAUUAGUUAUGUAAAUAAUCCGCAACCGGUGUCCUUGCUUGCGAACCCUCGAACCGAAUCGAAAUUCCACCCCCGCAAUAUUUACAACAUGCAUAUCCUACCCACAAAACUAAUCUGUAAACCUGUAAAACCCGUAAAAAUAAUGUAAAAGUCGUAUGUCUGCCCCACCCCCCCGUUACAAAUUUUUCGAUAAUUCUAUUGACUUUGAAAUUAUUUAAAGAUUUCUUAAGCCGAUGCGUAAAUAACUGUAUUUGAAAAACGAUUGUUCCACAGUUCUGAAGAUCACAAUGCGCGAGCUGCGCAGACAAAUGCGACACGAUCAUUAAAUGGAACUAUCCUCCGCGGCAGACAUAAAUAUAUAGCGACCCUAGAAGUACUUUAUCAGCCGAUUCCCAAUUACUAUACUAUUGUGUUACCUAGAAACCCCAUUUAUCAUUUAUCAAAAUAUUAAAGUGAAAUCCAAUCAAGCAUA